rnacentral:tRNA from 1 species
GCGCGGCGGGCCGUGGUCCUCGGGCCCAAGAACUUCUGCUUCCUGUUCGACGCCGACGGCAACCCGCGGAUCGUCCGUGGCCCCGCGC